UAGAGUUUGAUCCUGGCUCAGAUUGAACGCUGGCGGCAUGCCUUACACAUGCAAGUCGAACGGCAGCGCGGGGCAACCUGGCGGCGAGUGGCGAACGGGUGAGUAAUAUAUCGGAACAUACCCUAGAGUGGGGGAUAACGUAGCGAAAGUUACGCUAAUACCGCAUACGCACUAAGGUGGAAAGUGGGGGAUUCGCAAGAACCUCAUGCUCAUGGAGUGGCCGAUAUCUGAUUAGCUAGUUGGUGAGGUAAAGGCUCACCAAGGCGACGAUCAGUAGCUGGUUUGAGAGAACGACCAGCCACACUGGAACUGAGACACGGUCCAGACUCCUACGGGAGGCAGCAGUGGGGAAUUUUGGACAAUGGGGGCAACCCUGAUCCAGCAAUGCCGCGUGAGUGAAGAAGGCCUUCGGGUUGUAAAGCUCUUUUGUCAGGGAAGAAACGGUGAGUUCUAAUAAAGCUUGCUAAUGACGGUACCUGAAGAAUAAGCACCGGCUAACUACGUGCCAGCAGCCGCGGUAAUA
rnacentral:rRNA from 1 species